CCCCAUGGCAGUCGAACGCAGUAGCAAUACUAGAGUGGCAAACGGUGUGACUAUAAUGUGGGAAUCUGCCUAUUUGGUUUGGAAUAACACGGGGAAACUUGUGCUAAUACCGAAUAAGCCCUUACGGGGAACAGUUAUAACGCCGAAAGAUGAGCCUGCACUUGAUUAGCUAGUUGGUAAGGUACAAGCUUACCAAGGCAACGAUCAAUAGCUGUUCUUAGAGGAAGACCAGCCACAUUGGGACUGAGACACGGCCCAGACUCCUACGGGAGGCAGCAGUGGGGAAUCUUGCACAAUGGGGGAAACCCUGAUGCAGCGAUGCCGCGUGAGUGAAGAAGGCCCUUGGGUUGUAAAACUCUUUCGUCGGGGCAGAAAAUGACUGUACCCGAAUAAGAAGGUCCGGCUAACUUCGUGCCCGCAGCCGCGGUAAUACGACAGGGACCUAGCGUAGUACGGAAUUACAUGGGCUUAAAGAGUUCGUAAGUGGUAGAAAAAGUCGGUGGUGAAAUCCCCGAGACUAACUCUGGAACUGCCCUUCAAACUUAUCAGCUACAGUUGACAGAGGACAGCACAAAUCCACUGUACAGGUGAAAACCGCACAAAACACAAAGAAACCCAAUUGAGAACAGCCGGCAUACUGAGAUAAUAACAUGACACAGAGAGAACGCAAG
rnacentral:rRNA from 1 species